CUCAGUUCUUUGGCAACAGGGUUCGAUUACAUUUGAGCCUUUUUGCAAUUGAAGAGAUGGAUGAAAUAUUGUUUGGAAACAAUCAAACUAUAUGAAAUAAGGUUUCUCAGCGUGGCACUAUGGUGACGUGGCAAAACAUCUGUUUUGCCUUAGUUUCCGACUAUAAUUGGUUGGAAUCAACUUGCUUUUGAAAGUUAAGUUUUUAAUUCAAAUAAGCUGAGGUCAAGGUGGAUGGAUGGCUUGCAAAUUAUUGUGAGCUUUCUCUUUUGUUUGAAGUGGCUUUCAAUGAAUGAACACUAAAGAAGCAAAGAAAGGCAGAUUUUGAAUUUGUUGACACUACCUUGUGGGGAUUUUAACCGGCGGGAGAAGAUGCCGGCCGGCCGGCCGGACAGACAGGAAGCCUCCCCGCGGCCGGAUGAGAGGCAGCGCCGGCCUCUCCCCAUCUUCCUGUUGGGGCGGCCCUCCCUCUGGUGGCCGCCUUGUUCAUGGCAGUUCUUUCAAUUUCGUCUGUCUCGGAACUGCCUCGGAGCCGCUUGUUUACUUCCCGUCCGGAUACACCGAUCCGCCGGCGCAGGCAGGGGAUUCUGGAUCAACACUCUGUGAUUCAAAUAUUGACAGUGAACUGCCUGUGAUGAAUGCUGAUAUGGAAGUAAUUGACCCCGAGAGUCAAGUAGAAUUAGAAGAGAAGACACGGCUGAUUAAUCAAGUUUUGGAGCUUCAACAUACUUUAGAAGAGCUGUCUGCACGUGUGGAUGCUGUGAAAGAAGAGAAUCUGAAACUGAAAUCUGAAAAUCAAGUUCUUGGACAGUACAUAGAAAACCUUAUGUCAGCUUCUAGCGUUUUCCAAACAACAGAUACAAAAGGCAAACGAAAAUGAGACUGGCAUUUAUAAUAUACACCCAGUGGCCACUUUAUUAGAUAUCUCCUGCACCUCAAGGUCUUCUGCUGCUGUAACUCCAUCCACUUCAAGGUUCGAUGUGUUGUGCACGCAGAGAUGCUCUUCUGCACACCACUAUUGAAAGACAUGCAGAUUAACUACAUAUGUACAGUACUUUGGUAUCUCGCUUAACUAUAAGAUGCAAACGCAGGAAAAGAAAACAUUAUUAUAACUGGAGCUAAAAGCAAUGGAGAUGUGUUACUGACACUGUUACUGUACUAGGAACUUAGCACAAAUUGAGCAAUGAAUUGCCUUACAGUUCAGUGCGGAGCUUUUUCCCGAUGGCUCAUGUUGGGUGGAUCGGAGUGCGCGAUACAUCUGGCAAAGGAGAGAUGUGGAUGUGUAUUCUGCAAGCAGGGUGAAUGUAGACCAUUGCUAAAAUCUGGCAGUAGCUUCCUCAUGUGUUGGCAGACACCAGGAUCCUCAUCGUCCAUUGGCUGUGAUAGAAGUUGCACUCUUCUCCUCUCUGCUUGGCUGCAAUGUUCUCACUAGCCCUGUUGUUUCUCAAUGGUAAUAAGUAACUGCUGCAGAGUUUGAUUUUGUUAAACUAAGUCUUUAUUCAGAUCAUCCUCCACCGCCUUCUAGAGAAUUCCAAAACUUAUGACCCUCAGGCAGGAGAAAUUCCUCCACAUCCCCAUUAUAAAUAGACUGCCUUUAUUUUGAACUAAUGUUCCCUAUCCCUGUUUCUUGCAAAAAUGCCAUCCCCUUCUCACAAUUCCUCCGUCUCCACCGCAUCUGCUCUCAGGAUGAGGCCUUUCCUUCCAGGACAAAGGAGAUGUCUUCUUUUUUUAAACAAAGGGGCUUCCCUUCUUCUAUCAUCAACUCUGCUUUCAAACGCAUUUCUCCCAUUUCCCGUACAUCUGCCCUCACCCCAUCUGCCCGCACCCCACUCGGGAUAGGGUUCCCCUUGUCCUCAUCUACCACCCCACCAGUCUCCAGGUCCAACAUAGAAUUCUCCAUAACUCCCGCCACCUCCAACGGGAUCCCACUACCAAGCACAUCUUUCCCUCCGCCCCCCCCCUUCUGCUUUCUGCAGGGAUCGCUCCCUAUGUAACUUCCUUGUCCACUCUUCCCCCUCAUCCCUUCCCACUGAUCUCCCUCCUGGCACUUAUCCUUGUAAACGGAACAAGUGCUACACCUGCCCUUACACUUCCUCCCUCACCACCAUUCAGGGCCCCAGACAGUCCAUUCAGGUGAGGCGACACUUCACCUUUGAGUUGGCUGGUGUGGUAUACUGCGUCCGGUGCUCCCGGUGUGGCCUUUUAUAUAUUGGUGAGACCUGACGCAGACUGGGACACCGUUUCGCUGAACACCCACGCUCUGUCCGCCAGAGAAAGCAGGAUCUCCCAGUGGCCACACAUUUUAAUUUCACAUCCCAUUCCCAUUCUGAUAUGUCUAUCCUUGGCCUCCUCUACUGUUAAAAUGAAGCCACACUCAGGUUGGAGGAACAACACCAUAUAUACUGGCUGGGUAGCCUCCAACCUGAUGGCAUGAACAUUGACUUCUCUAGCUUCCGUUAAUGCCCCUCCUCCCCUUCUUAUCCCAUCACUGACAUAUUUAAUUGUUUGUUUUUUUCUCUCUGCCCAACACUCUGCCUGUUCUCCAUCUCCCUCUGGUGCUCCCCGCCCCCUUUCUUUCUCCUGAGGCCUCUGGUCCCAUGAUCAUUUCCCUUCUCCAGCUCUGUAUCACUUUUGCCAAUCACCUUUCCAGCUCUUAGCUUCAUCCCACCCCCUCUGGUCUUCUCCUAUCAUUUCGGAUUUCCCCCUCCCCCUCCUACUUUCAAAUCUCUUAGUAUCUUUCCUUUCAGUUAGUCCUGAUGAAGGGUCUCGGCCUGAAACAUCGACAGUGCUUUUCCCUAUAGAUGCUGCCUGGCCUGCUGUGUUCCACCAACAUUUUGUGUGUGUUGUUCCCUAUCCUUUGAUUGCCCAAGAGGAAACAACCCCUCUCAUCUACCAUUUUUUCUCAACAUGCUGAACUUUUCCUAAGAAGAUAAUUCUGUCAUUCCACAAACCAACCCAGUGAACUUAUCUGAGCUGCCUUCAAUGCAAGUAUAUCCCUCCUUACAGAAGGAAAACUUAUAAAAACUGUAUGCAGUAUUCCAGGUAUGUUUCCACCAUUGUAUUGUAUAAGUUUUACCUCCUUUUGUCCUCAGCUUCCAUUGCAAUAAAGACCAACAUUCCAUUUGCUAUCCUGAUUGCUUACUGUACCUAUAAACUAACUUUCUACUUUAUGUAUCUGAGAACCCUUAGACACACCUCUACCACAGAAUUCUGUAGUCUCUCUCCAUUUUCCCAGGAAAAGUAGUACCCCUACUGGGGGCACAGGCUGCCAAUAGCAGCUCGCAGAGUUCUCUGUCCUGCACCUUAAGUUGACUGUCCCUUUGGCUUCUGCUGUCACCGCACGACUUCAUACAUCUUCGAGGCAAAGAUCCUUCUUCUCCCAGCAAUGAGGUUUUUAAGAGCUUCUAUUGGCAUUUAUGUGGGUCUAGGUUUUUAUGGGAUGGGGUUGCUAGCCCCAUGCCCAAGCCUUCACUUCUUGCAGCCAGGCUUGGGAUUGUCCAUGGCGGAGUUAGGCAAAGCAGAUAUUCUCAUUAUUUCCCCACAUCUUUGUCCUCUUACUUAACCUCCUCGUAUCCCUUUGUAGACUCCUUAUGUCCUCCUCACAACAGUUUUCCUGUUUCUUUUCUACCUGCAACAAAUUUGGUUAAAUUAUCCUCAUUGCUGCAUCACUAAUGUAGACUGGAAACAGUUAAGCUUCUGCCAUCUGAUCUCUGGGAUGCUCAUCAACCUGAAACCAAUUCACUAAUUCCGACCUCCUUUACUUAGCAAAUCCUCCACCCCUGCUAAUAUAUUACCUACAGUGCUAAAAGCUCUUGCCUCAGUGAGUAAUCUUUUAUACGGGAACACCUUCUGGAAAAUGAAACUCAAAUCUCCUUUAUAUGUCUUUCAUGUUACAUCCCCAAAGAACACUGAUAAAUUUGUUAAACUCUAUUUAGAUUUCUGACACUAUAGCACAGAAAUAGACCCUUUGGCCCAAAUAACCCAUGCCAUACUAUUAAUCUGUCUAGUCCCAUGGAUCUGCACCCAGACCAUUGCCCUCCAUUCACCUUCCAUCCCUGUUCCCAUCCAAAUUUUUCUUAAAUGUGAAAUGGAACCCACAUCCACCACUUCCGCUGGCAGUUCAUUCCGAACUCUCACCACUCUCUGAAUAAAGAAACUCACCCUCAUGUUCCCCUUAACCAAUUACCUCUAGGUCCAGUCUCACCUAACCUCAGUGGAAAAAGCUUGCUUACAUUUAUCCUAUCAAUACCUCUCAUAAUUUUGGAUACCUCUAUGAAAUUUCCCCUUAUGCUAUGCUUGAAUGAAUAAAGUCCUAACCUAUUCAUCCUUUCCCUACACUCAGGCCUUCAAGUCUUGGCAAUAUCAUUGUAAAUUUUAUCUGCACUCCUUCAAUCUUAUUGAUACUUUCCUGUAGGUAGGUAGCUAGAACAAUGCUUCAAGUUAGCCCUCACCAUUGUCUUAAACAACUUCAAUAUAACAUCCCAAUGUGCCAAAAGCUCUCUUCACAACCCCAUCUCCCUUUAAUGCUACUUUUAAGGAAUGACAGAUUUGUAUUCUUAGAUCCAUCUGUUCUACUUUACUCCUCAGUGCCCUACCACUCACCAUGCAAGUCCUACCCUGGAUUGUAUUCCCAAAGUGCAAAACCUCAGACCUAUGAGCAUUAAUUUUUUAGCCCAUUUUCCCAGCUGGGCCAGAUCCUGCUGCAAGCUUUGAUAGUUUCCUUGCUGUCCACUACGCCUGUAAUCAUGGUCUCAUCAGCAAAUUUGCUGAUACAGUUUACUACAUUACCACAGAUUGUUGAUAUUGCUGAUGCCACGGAGCGCCAUGGUAGUGUUGCGGUUAGUGCGAUGCUGUUACAGCAUGGGGGUCAGAAUUUGGAGUACCAAAUACUGGACUUAAGGUGUUAUACUUAAAUGCACGCAGCAUAAGGAAUAAGGUGGAUG